CGCCCCAUUCCUUUCCCCAUUGACCCAAUCAACACAUUGGUCUUCCUCUCCCUCGCAUCUCUGCAAAUAAAAUACGACGCAAAACAAAGGCGGGAGCAGGGCAAAGGUCACAUCCAAGCCGCGAUCGACAACACGCUAUUGUGCUUCUUUUCCUACGCCAAAGCCAUGAUAGAGCCGUCUGCGCUCAGCCUCGCCUUAUGGAGGUGUCCCCGUGGUGUUGGCGCUCCCAAGUGUUGGCUGUUUGGUCGAUUCGACUUGCCCAUGCCGUCCCCUCCGCUACUGGAGGCUUUCUCGGUCGGCGAUGCUAGGGCCAACCGUGGACGACCGCUAAGCCUAAGGCAUCUAAGUUGCCUGGCCAUGAGGUGGCCGAUCCGUAGCUGCCAAUUUGGUGGUCUGUGAAAGUGCCUGACGGUCGUAGCUCGGGUGGAUUGCCUAGCCUGAGAGCAUACUGUGGUGUUGUUGGUCAGACUAGGGUGGAUUGCCUAGCCUGAGCUGCCUGGGCAUGCCCUCGGCUGCACAAAGACGAGCGAGAUAAGCGCCGACGGUCAGUCUCGUCGUCGCCAUCACAGCAGCGAAGCCGUGAGUGAGGGAGAGAUCGCAGACCGAGUGGGCUAGGGCGGCUUUGUCUUGAGCCGGCUCGUAUAUUUGACUGGCUCGGUUCGUUCAGUUUUGGGCUAGGCUUAUUUUAUUUUUAUUUUUUACCAUUUUUUUUAAAGGUUUGGGCUUGAGCUUUACAACCAUUUGACUUAAGAAGGGGAAAAAAGAUUCCACUUCUGAAUA